rnacentral:misc_RNA from 1 species
UUUCCGUAGGUGAACCUGCGGAAGGAUCAUUAUUGAGAUGGGCCCGCGCCCCCCGGGGCCGGGCCUGCAACUCUCCACACACACUGUGAACCGUAUCGGGAGGGGCCCCGCCCCUCCCUCACAAACUAUCAGUGAUGAACGUCGUCAUUAUAACAAUGCAAAACUUUCAACAACGGAUCUCUAGGCUCUCGCAUCGAUGAAGAACGCAGC